CUACGGGAGGCAGCAGUGGGGAAUCUUGCGCAAUGGGGGCAACCCUGACGCAGCCAUGCCGCGUGAAUGAUGAAGGCCUUAGGGUUGUAAAGUUCUUUUGCCCGUGACGAUGAUGACGGUAACGGGAGAAUAAGCUCCGGCUAACUUCGUGCCAGCAGCCGCGGUAAUACGAAGGGGGCUAGCGUUGUUCGGAAUUACUGGGCGUAAAGCGCGCGCAGGCGGUUUUGUAAGUUAGGGGUGAAAUCCCCGGGCUCAACCCGGGAAUGGCCUUUAAGACUGCAAGGCUAGAGGACGAGAGAGGUGAGUGGAAUUCCCAGUGUAGAGGUGAAAUUCGUAGAUAUUGGGAAGAACACCGGUGGCGAAGGCGGCUCACUGGCCCGAUACUGACGCUGAGGCGCGAAAGCGUGGGGAGCAAACAGGAUUAGAAACCCCGGUAGUCC
rnacentral:rRNA from 1 species